CAUAGUGAGUUAGAACCUGAAGGAAGCCUAGGAUAAAGUCUAGUUCUAAGGAACAAAAAUUACAUAUGAAGCUACUGAGAAAUGGAUGAGUUUGCGUAACAGAACAAAGUAUAAUAUUAUCCAAGUCUUAAGUAUUAAAUGUAGCAGAUAUAUGAGCGGAAGGUUGU
rnacentral:ncRNA from 1 species